GAUGAACGCUGGCGGCGUGCCUAAUACAUGCAAGUCGAGCGAACAGACGAGGAGCUUGCUCCUCUGACGUUAGCGGCGGACGGGUGAGUAACACGUGGAUAACCUACCUAUAAGACUGGGAUAACUUCGGGAAACCGGAGCUACUACCGGAUAAUAUAUUGAACCGCAUGGUUCAAUAGUGAAAGACGGUUUGGCUGUCACUUAUAGAUGGAUCCGCGCCGCAUUAGCUAGUUGGUAAGGUAACGGCUUACCAAGGCAACGAUGCGUAGCCGACCUGAGAGGGUGAUCGGCCACACUGGAACUGAGACACGGUCCAGACUCCUACGGGAGGCAGCAGUAGGGAAUCUUCCGCAAUGGGCGAAAGCCUGACGGAGCAACGCCGCGUGAGUGAUGAAGGUCUUCGGAUCGUAAAACUCUGUUAUUAGGGAAGAACAAAUGUGUAAGUAACUAUGCACGUCUUGACGGUACCUAAUCAGAAAGCCACGGCUAACUACGUG
rnacentral:rRNA from 1 species